CAGCAGCCACGGUAAUCCAGAGGGUGCAAGCGUUAAUCGGAAUUACUGGGCGUAAAGCGCGCGUAGGUGGUUUGCUAAGUUGGAUGUGAAAUCCCCGGGCUCAACCUGGGAACUGCAUUCAAAACUGACUGACUAGAGUAUGGUAGAGGGUGGUGGAAUUUCCUGUGUAGCGGUGAAAUUCGUAGAUAUUCGGAAGAACACCAGUGGCGAAGGCGGCUUACUGGCUCAUACUGGACGCUGAGGUGCGAAAGCGUGGGGAGCAAACAGGAUUAGAUACCCCGGUAGUCCCUGUCUCUUAUAA
rnacentral:rRNA from 1 species